UGAACGCUAGCUACAGGCUUAACACAUGCAAGUCGAGGGGCAGCAUGAACAUAGCUUGCUAUGUUUGAUGGCGACCGGCGCACGGGUGCGUAACACGUAUCCAAUCUGCCCGUUACUCGGGGAUAGCCUUCUGAAAGGAAGAUUAAUACCCGAUGGCAUGUAUUUCCGGCAUCGGAGAUACAUUAAAGAUUUAUCGGUAACGGAUGAGGAUGCGUACGAUUAGCUGGUUGGCGGGUAACGGCCCACCAAGGCGACGAUCGUUAGGGGUUCUGAGAGGAAGGUCCCCCACACUGGAACUGAGACACGGUCCAGACUCCUACGGGAGGCAGCAGUGAGGAAUAUUGGUCAAUGGUCGAGAGACUGAACCAGCCAAGUAGCGUGAAGGAUGACUGCCCUACGGGUUGUAAACUUCUUUUGUUUGGGAAUAAAUGAUACUACGUGUAGUAUUCUGCAUGUACCUUACGAAUAAGCAUCGGCUAAUUCCGUG
rnacentral:rRNA from 1 species